ACACUUGGAGAAGUUUCAGAAACCAAACUGGCACCUUAAGAGUUGUACUGCUAAAACAUGAUAUUAGACUCAAAAAGAAAUCAAAGCUUUAUCCACUAAGAAGUCAGCUGCUUUUUUUGUCACCUGAUAAACAUGACUAAGAUGUGAAAAUUCAUUACAAAAUUAGUAUAAUAUUGGAAAAAUGGCAAUACAUUAAAUAGCUAAAAUGGGCAUAUUAAGUCUUUAAUUAGUCUUUUACUAAAAUAAUGUCCACAAUCGGCACAUCUCUGUAACUCUUUUAGUCCUUGGUUAAGAAAAAUAUUUUACUCCUUGUUGGAAAUUUAAAAGUGAAAGAAGACCUGUGAAGAAAUCUGAUGAAGAUAUACUUUUUGUAAUAUUUAUCUUUAGCAUUACUUUUCACAAAUAGGUGAGCAAAGUCUUUUGUCAGGAUGAUGCUCUAAAGUGAAGAUCGCCAGGGAUAUUUGGGUAAACAAAUACGUUUUCAUAAAUGAAAUUAAAUCAGGGGAAUUUCAGCUUGUAUUCUCCCAUAUACAUUUGUUCUGCUGCCUACCAAGUGCUUCUUCGUAAAGACACCCAUAUCCGAACACUGUCCUCAGUCAUGUGAGUAGCUGCUUUUCUUGCACAACAAAGUCCAAGGGCGAGCAGUUCAGGAAAACAAAAGAACUUGGCUAAUCUAAGUCAAGAAAACUGAAAAGAAAUUGUACGUUAUGAUAGGCGUGCAUAUGAGAAAAUGGAAUGAAAACAAAAUUGCAAUCAAAUCUCGGAAGCAUAUUAUGGGAAAGAAAGUUAUAGAAAGGAAAGAAUGUAUUGUGGAUAAUUUCGGGAACUAUUAAACAUUUAACUGCCAGUUCAAAAGGAAAUAGCAGAGCUGCUUCAGGACGAGGUCCUUAAAUUUAUUCCUUUAUUGUUACUAUCCAUCUGCAGUAAUGUGACAUUCAGUCUCUCUUGCCCAUUCUGUUUUAUCCCCAUAAUAUUUCUCUCCUCCCUGAAGCAAUCCCCCACCCCCAAAAAUGAACAAAAAACUGGGGCAUGCCCGUGAAUCUGUGCAGAACGUAAACCUGAUUUCCUUUGAUAUUACAGCAUCUGCUGAUGCAAAAAUCAUUUGUGAAACAGAAAACCUCUGAAAAUGACAGUAACACCGCUUUUCUGGCAUUAUUUUUCUGUUAUUUUAAUCCAUGUAAGUCAUGUGAAAAUUUAGCACUCCACAAUAAAACCCCACCAAUAACAUUUCUCACGUUAUUAUGUGAUAGUCAUGCUAACCCAAUGUCCCGCUAAUACAUUUCCCAUUAAAAUGCCUAAAUUCAUAAAACUUGAAAUAUAAUCACCAUAAGAAAUGAACUUUUUAAUGCUUUGAUGAUAUACUAAACAUGAAAAGAGUAUUUUGUCAAUGCUGACAAUACUAGCAAUGUAUCUGCUUAAUUUUAUCUUCAGAGUGUUUAUCUGUGUGUAUAUUUGGCCAGUUUCCUCCUUCUCUGCACUGCAGUGUUUAGCAGGCUGACGAUUUAAUUGCAACAAUCUUCAGAGCUCUCUCAGUGCCUACAGGGGGAUGUUUAAAGGUGGAAGUUAGCCUCAGCCUCACCAGACAUCUGCUGAAGCCCCCACGCAGUCAGGAGAGCCACCCGAGCAGGAGCCAGCCACCCCGAUCCACCUCUCCCUGCCUCCCGCAGAGCAAGCCGAGAUCGGUUAGGAACAGGCCAUGGAGCCAGCUGGUAGGACUCAGUUCACUUAAGGACAAAACCGAGAAGCCACGGAGAAACCUAAGCCACUGAUUUCCAGGACAAUGUAGGCUCCUGCAAGGCCGUGUACUUUCUGGUACAGUGGGAUGCAGAGAUUCCUGAGAUGAUAUAGCUCCAGACAGAUCUAUACCACAAGCUAAAAUGCUCACAUUCCUGCCAGGACUUUUGCAUGGAGCUACACAAUGGAGAGGCACUCUCGUGUGUUACAGACAUACCACAGGACAGUAAGAGCUCUUGGUCGUUUUACAAGGAUUUAGGCUUCACAUGGACUGCCUAUUAAAUGGCUACUUGGGUUGGAGGGUAUGUGAAGAUUUUUGUAUUUUUUUUCUUUGAAUAUGGAAAUAAGGAUACUGGUUAGCGUAGACUGAAUUAAGCUUGUUUAAGAGAGGUCUUAUAAAGUUAUUACUCAAGCAGGAUACGCUACAUUAUGAAUCCACUGUAGGGUAUCAUGUUAAUGACCGUUGUUUUUAACUUAGUCCAGAACAGUGCCAUUUAACUGUACUGCAGUAGUUCAAGCUGCAAACGAGGGGAAAAUUGAGUCCCACUCAAUAGUCAUACACUGUAGUUAUUGUUUAUUUUCUUUUAUUUUGCAAUAUUAUUACUAUUAUUUAAGGAAAACAUCUGUAAAAAGUGAAAAAGAACACACCAGUCACUAUUACUGUAUUACCAUUUUAAGACAGAUUUUAAUUAGACAUAUUUCUACUGGACAUCUAUGUUUUUGUCCUUUAUUGCUAAUUUUUUACUUCAUCAGUAACUUGCUAACAAUUUUGACAUCCACUACCUUGAACUGGUUUGCUCAGAGAUACCACACUGAAGAGGUUUCCAGGAGGUCUCCGGGAAAGUAGAUUCUGCUAGGCUUAGUGUCUGGAAUAUUUUAUUGAAAAAUGUUUUAUUGAAAGCCUACUCUUUCUUGAAAAAUGUGGAUGACAUCAGUUUGCUUUGCUUGUCAUCUCCUUCCUUUAUACAGGGUGAGCAGGUUUGCCAUCCUCUUUUGCAAGUGACUGAAAAUAAGAAUUAAAA